CGGGAGCCGACGAGCGGGACCCGCCUCCCGCGGCGCCAUGUUGGAAAAGGGCAGCAGCUCCCGGGAGGAUGCGCCCCCGGCGUGGGAAGCCGAGGAACCGGCGCGCGGCGCGCGGCGCGUGGCGCGUGGCGAGUCGGGGAGAGACUGGUCUUGCUCGCUCAGGAGACCCUCAUCGCCCACAGAGCGCCCGCGGCGACCCGGUCACGGCCCUUCCAUUUCCUGACCCUGCUUAAUGACAGCGAGGUGAAAACAUCUACCAAACGAAGGGUAAAAGGCUGGAGUCCGCCAAAAGCCAAUUUAAGGCUUAACAUUGCAGACCGUUUGUCUUUACAAAAGCUUCAAAGACGGGGCUGCAGCUCCCGGUUAUCCCCACUUUGUCAAGCCAUGAAUCUGAAUGUUCGUGGGGUUGUGUGCAUCGAAUCAGCAAGAGCAAGGCAAGAAUUCAAGAAAUAGUUCUUUUUUAUCCCCCCUUCCAAGUCACAGGUUCAGAGGAUCAUCAUCUUUCUCCCACAUUAGCAAAACAUAUUUGCAUUUUUCAGUGAAGUUCUUUACCGCACGAGUGCCCUAAAAUAGCAAACAGUUCCCUGUUCAAAAGCAAUAGUAAAGAAAUUCGCCGAAGAGUUUAAUUGCCUGGGGACAGCUGCAGUAGUCGCAUCAUCGUCUCUUAUUAAACUGUUGCAGAAAUAUUCGGUCUAGUCCAUGUAUUUUCAACUAAAUAGCACUGCUUACGCAGUUGGUGAUAUGGUGAUAUCACGGAAGUAGCAAUAAACCUUGGUUAUCUUUUUUUUUUUUUUUUUUGAGACGGAGUCUCGCUCCGUCGCCCAGGCUGGAGUGCAACGGCGCGACCUCUACUCACCACAACCUCAGCCUCCCGGAUUCAAGCGAUUCUCCUGCCUCAGCACUACCACCCCCACCAGCCCCCAACCCCUGCCGAGUAACUGGGACUACAGGCGUGCGCCAUCCGUGCCCGCUCAUUUUUGUAUUUUCAGUAGAGACUGGGUUUCACUAUGUUGGCCAGGCUGGUCUCAAACUCCUGACCUCGUGAUCCGCCCACCUCAGCCUCCCAAAGUGCUGGGGGGAUUACAGGUGUGAGCCACCGCGCCCGGCCAACCUUGGUUAUCUUCAAAUGCCUUGUUACCUCAGAUUUUAAAGUGCAUAAGGUUGUAGAACGAUGGUGCCUCUACAGAAGUUUCUUUACAAAUUGUAAUGUGUAGGUUCGUCCUUUAUUUCUUUCUUAUGAAGGUGCACGAAUUGGCUUUACUUUCUGGGGUUGAAUUUUGUAUAAACUCGGUUGAGGAGGCUUGUCAGUUUCCCUUCUAACAGUAAGGUGCUUGAUUAAUGUGAGAGAAAAAAAUUAAUGUUGGUCAUUUUCAGUUACAAUACCAAAAUUUUUUCUGCAUACUUUACUCUGAGUUACUUUUAUAUUUAAUUUGAAAGGCCAUUGUAGGAGAUAAAUUAUCACAUUUUAAGUUACUGUAAAUCAAUAGCUUAGGUAGAAAUUCAUUUAGUCAGAUCCUUCAGAUAUUCUAGGAAUUUCCCCUUUUCACCUGCACUUCACUUCUGUGAAAAAUAAACCGUUCAUCAAAAGUCCUCAUGUACUUUUAUUAAAAGUUCAUUUCCUAUUAUUUUAGAAAAUAGACCACGAAACUAGAGAUUUUCUAUGAACCUGUGAUUUGUUAAAAUGUCUCUUUUAUUCGAAGUACCGUGGGGAAAACCAACUCAAUUUGCCAAAUUUGCAUACAUAUUCUGAAGCUUUUCUUACACUAAUGGCAAACUCAUAUUUCUGUUCCAAUAUUUGCAGAGCCAAUAUAAUUACACGUCAGCUCUUCAUAGCCUUUAUGUAGUAAGAAAUCUUAACUUUGAUGAUUUGAGCAAGGAUUUUUCCAGAAAGUU
rnacentral:lncRNA from 10 species